CUCGGGGCCACCUCCCACCCGUGUAUACCGUACCUUGUUGCUUCGGCGAGCCCCGCCCCCCUUUCCUUUAGGGGGUGGCACAAGCGCUCGGCCGGAGACACCAAACGUGAACACUGUCUGAAGUUUUGUCGUCUGAGUCGAUUGUAUCGCAAUCAGUUAAAACUUUCAACAAUGGAUCUCUUGGUUCCGGCAUCGAUGAAGAACGCAGCGAAAUGCGAUAAUUAAUGUGAAUUGCAGAAUUCAGUGAAUCAUCGAGUCUUUGAACGCACAUUGCACCCCCUGGUAUUCCGGGGGGUAUGCCUGUCCGAGCGUCAUUGCUGCCCUCAAGCACGGCUUGUGUGUUGGGUCGUCGUCCCCCCCGGGGGACGGGCCCGAAAGGCAGCGGCGGCACCGCGUCCGGUCCUCGAGCGUAUGGGGCUUUGUCACCCGCUCUUGUAGGCCCGGCCGGCUGCUGGCCGACGCUGAAAAGCAACCAAUCUAUUUCAUCAGGUUGACCUCGGAUCAGGUAGGGAUACCCGCUGAACUUAAGCAUAUCAAUAAGCGGAGGA
rnacentral:rRNA from 1 species